rnacentral:rRNA from 4 species
GUUGGUGAUUUGACGCCGUGGAUACACCCGAUCCCAUUCCGAACUCGGCAGUUAAGCAUGGUAGUGGCGAUGGUACCCCGCGCAAGCGUGGGAGAGUAGCUAGUCGCCAACA